CCUACGGGUGGCAGCAGUGAGGAAUAUUGGUCAAUGGGCGCGAGCCUGAACCAGCCAAGUCGCGUGAGGGAAGACGGUCCUAUGGAUUGUAAACCUCUUUUGUCGGGGAGCAAAAGACGCCACGCGUGGCGUUCCGAGAGUACCCGAAGAAAAAGCAUCGGCUAACUCCGUGCCAGCAGCCGCGGUAAUACGGGGGAUGCGAGCGUUAUCCGGAUUUAUUGGGUUUAAGGGGUGCGCAGGCGGAAGGUUAAGGCAGCGGUAACAUUUCGGGGCUCAACCUGUGCGAGCCGUUGAAACUGGUUUUCUUGAGUGAGCGAGAGGUAUGCGGAAUGCGUGGUGUAGCGGUGAAAUGCAUAGAUAUCACGCAGAACUCCGAUUGCGAAGGCAGCAUACCGGCGCUCAACUGACGCUCAUGCACGAAAGUGUGGGUAUCGAACAGGAUUAGAUACCCCAGUAGUC
rnacentral:rRNA from 1 species